rnacentral:lncRNA from 1 species
AAACUAGACAUGUACUAAAGAACAAAACAAAAACUGGCUGGGGGUGGUAGCCCACACUUGUAAUCCCAGCACUUCGGGAGGCUAAGGCAGGUGGAUUGUUUGAGGCCAGGAGGUAGAAGUUGCAGUGAGCUGAGAUUGCCCCACUGCACUCCAACCUGGGGGACAGAGUGAGACCCUGUCUCAAAAAUUAAAAUACUACUUAGGCUACAUUGUGGGGGGGGUGGUAAGUCUAUGGAUUUUGAUUUCCUUUUUGCUGUUUUCUAUUUUUGGUAACAUGUUUAUGUAACUUCAUUUUUUAAAAAAUUGCUACAUUCAAAAUUUCCCCCAAAAAAGAAACUUCAUAUACAAGUUAGUUCAUAUACAAGUUAGAAAAUGAAAUUUUAAAAUACCCCAUAAGACACAUCAAAGAAUAAUUCUUUAAAAAUGGUACCAGAACCCUACAGAGAAUGUAAGGUACCAAAGGAUGUUAAAGACCUAAAUAGAUCACAUUCAUGGGUGCAAAGAAGUGAUACUGUAAAAAGAAAGAAACUCAAAAGAUACCUAAAGGCAGGUGAAAAGACAUUUACAACAGAUAAAGGGCAUAUAAAGAACAACAGGAAGAAACGAGGGAAAUCUUACGGCUCAGCCACUGUCAGGGCUGGGGGGUUCUCGGUGCACCCUGGAAGCAGCUCCCACCACCGGGGCCACAGAGAAACCCACACAAGCCCCAGACACGUGGACAAGAAUACUCAGAGCAGCCUGGCUCUCCACAACUUCUGACCAAGAACCACCGGAGGCCCAGCAGAGCAGAACGGAGCAGUCUGCUGUGCCGAGGUGGGUUUCUGCAGCGGACAUUAUUCGGCUAUGAAAAUGAACUUGUGGCAGCCCCUCUGCAUGGGCAACCCUCAUGCCAAGUGAGCAACGUGAGACUUCAGCAAACACCAAGAUCCACGUACAAAGCUCAAAACAGGCAAAACUGAGCAUGUCCAGGACACGCACAGGUGGCAAAGCCAUAAAGCAAAACGAGGACAUGGUCACAGGCUGGGAUGUGGCUAACCUCCCAGGUGACACCUGGGGAUGGUAAGGGGCUGGCCAGGUUCCAUUUCACAUGGGUGCAGCCUAAACUGCAUACAGCUCCUUAUAGUUACCCACAUGUCCACAGGCCUCACGCACUUUUCUUCUGUGUCACAUUCCACAACAAAAGAACACCACACACAGGAUUCUGGGGAAUCCCACAGGCUGGAAGAGCCAGGAGCGUGGCCUCACCUGGGGUUGAUCUCCAGCGUGGGCUGCAGGAGCUGUGCGCGCUCCUCCUGGGUCUUGGCCAGCUGCUGCAUGCGCAGGAAGUGGCGGGCAGCCCCCAUCUCCAGCACGGUGACCAUGGCAGGGUGGGUGUCCAGUCGGAGGGUCACCUGUGAGCAAAGCCCGGGGUUGAGGGUGAUAGAGGUUCCCAAUGUGAGAGGGCUGGCAGGAUCUUACCAGGGGUGAAGGUCACCCAGACCACGAGGUAGCAGGCGGGGUCUCAAGGACUCCCCUGGACCAGCGCUGCUCCCUCCCCAUUACCCACUAACUUGUGGGCCCUGAGCUGAUGCCCCACGCAAAGAUACUGUGCCCGAGGGGCUCCACCACCCUGGUGCCCCGCUGCUGCCUCCAGGAGCUGCCCGAAUCCAUCGUCCUCUGCUCCAUGCCAGCCCACCCUGCAUGAGGCCCCUUCCUCCAAGUGACCAUGCAUGGGACGCUCAUUUCUCACUCUGAGCUAGACAGGUUGGUGGGGGGAGUCUUAGCUCUCUGAAGCCCACCCAAAACCCCCGACUAAGCACCCAAGUGAGCAUGUGAGCUCCUGAGGGCUGGGGUAGCAUGUCCCUUGUUUGGAACCCCCACGUCCUCAGCCAUUGCAGCUCCCACUCAGGAUGCUGGUUUUUCAGUUCUCAGUUCACACCUGCUCUGGAGCAGGGCUGGGAGAAAGACACGGCCUUCCUGCCUCAGCGGCACUCCCGAGCAACACGUGCCGAGCAGGGACCCACAGGGUCUCCACCUGACACCAAGGGCUUCUGCUGCUGCUGGAAGGACACCCAACGGGCCAGGUACUGGGAGCCACCAGCUGGCCAGCCUGUUAGGGACACUGCGGCCAAGUGGUGGUCCAUCCCCGGGAAAGCCUCACCUUCACGUUGGUGACACGCGACCCCAGCACAUUUCUCAUCCAGGCCAUGAGCUCCUCCGUCUCCUUCUCUGAUAGGCACUCGGCGGCUGCGGAAGAGCAGGCGACAGGGAGCUCAGGCCUGCAUCCCAACUCCCCGGCUUCCAUGGGGGCCACGCAGCAUGCUUCCAGCUCCCACCUCCUCUCCCACCAGGAUGGAGACACAAGCUAGCAAGAUGCUUUUCAUCUAAAAGUAAAACCUCAAAGGAUGCUUCAGGUUGCCUGAGGCCCAUACAACUUGGUUAGGGCUUUAAAAAAAUACACAGCCUCUCAAGAAGCUGGGCCAGCUCCAGAAGCCACCGUGGCAGGAGCACUGGACAGACCCCUGAUAUCUAAACCAGGAGGCACCUUCCUCCAGUCACCAGGGUGCUCCCACAAGGCUCUUCUCGGGGGUGGCUGAGCCCAGGUCAACUGACGAAAACCCAAAGGAAGCCCUCGCUGCGGGGCAGGAGAGGCGUGCGGGGAGUGGAAACCAGCCCCACGCCUAGAGAGCAGGGGAUGCCGACCUGGGGACCUGUCCUCAAACUUCUCCUCCUUGUAGUGAUCCACGACUAUGUCCGUCUCCACAGAGAUCAGCUUCUUCUUGUCAAACUCACGAAGGUGCAGCAGGGUGAGCUCAUCAAACUGCUCAAAGCAGAAGAGAACCUGCAGGUGGCCAAGAGCAGCUCCAUCAGACCCCGGGGGCCUCCAGCCACCACAGAAGAAAGGAUGAGGGCGGCAGGAGGGCUGGGGGAGCCAAGCGGGCCACACUGGGGAACACCGGGGCAGUUGGGGUUCCUAGGCCUGCAUGACAGUUACUACGACACCUGGGUCUAAGGAAGGCUCUGACUGCCUUCAAGGCAGAAGCACUCCACGCAUAAAGAAAUCCACAUGUGGCUGAGUGCAGUGGCUCACGCCUGUAAUCCCAGCACUUUGGGAGGCCAAAGCAGGCAGAUCAUGAGGUCAGGAGUUCGAGACCAACAUGGUGAAAUGCCGUCUCUAUUAAAAAUACAAAAAUUUGCUGGGUGUGGUGGUGUGCACCUGUAGUCCCAGCUACUCAGGAGGCUGAGGCAGGAGAAUGACCUGAACCCAGGAGGCGGAAGUUGCAGUGAGCCGAGAUCGCACCACUGCACUCUAGCCUGGGCGAGAGAGCAAGACUCCAUCUCAAAAAAACAAAAAACAAACAAAAAAAACCACAUGUGACCUCCAAGUGGGAAACAGCCGUCACAGUCGGUCCGGCCUCUGUGCCCGUGACCCUGACCCACUGUGCAGCCCUGCCCGGAGUCUUGGGCAGGUUCACCCAGCACAGAGCUGAGAAGGUCAAGACCCUCCCCAGGUUGCAGCCCCCGGAGCCCGCCCCACCCACCGCUCACCCACCUCUGUGUCUUUCUUCUUCAUGGCCUCAUAGUAGGGUGAGUGCUCUGCCAGGUGACGGUUGGGGGCGCACAGGUAGUAGAUGUUGCGGGUGCCGGCCCGCAUGCGGCUGGCGUAUUCUGAGAGGCUGGUUAGCUGCCCGGAGGGCAGCGCCGAGGACUCGUAGCGCAGCAGCUUUGCUAUGUCCUCCUAGAAGGGACGGGGCAGGUCACCACUUAUUCCAGGCCCAUGGGCUCAAUGUUGCCCAACUAACUGGGCGCAAACCCUCCGAUGCCCAUGGCCUCCUGGCACUCCAGGCUGGCCCUGACCCGAGGGACGGUAGUGGACUCGGGGGUUGUCCGAGAGCAGGCCUUGCUCUGCCCAUCAGGCCCCUUUUGGGAGCUCUGGGGGCUUAGGAAGCACCUCCUGCCCCAGGUGGCCCAGGGGCUCUCCAGGGAGCUACGCGCACCACGCCCUGGGAGGGGACCCCACCCAACAGCAGAGCCCGGCCUGGACCCAGCGUCUUCCCUCUGCCCUCAGUGACAGAGUCAGUCUCUGGUGGGCACACGGACACGGGUGAAGUCCACGGUUCCCGGCCCUCCUCACAGCUGGCUAUGGCAGAGACUGGCUUUGCCCAGUGGGUUUCAGUGGGAUUUGGAGAAGGGCCCUUAGGGGAGGGGUUUGCCCUCCUCCCCAUCAGCUGAACGCAGCUGUGACCUCUAGAGCUCAUGGGAGCUGCAGCUGGAAGGACGCAGGGGGAAAACAGAAAGAGGGAAAAGCAAGGAGCUGGACACCCAACCAGCAGGGCCCAGGCCACCCCUGCACACAUGGUGGGUCUGCAUUGAUAAGACAUGUCACACGUGCACACCUACAAAGACCUAGAAAUGUCUCUGACUCUUACCUGUGUGCUGUUAACUCAAAUGAAGAUAAAGGAGAAUGAAGAGGCCUGUGUCAGAAGCUGCCGAAGUCGGCAAACAACCAGAACACGGCCUCCUUGGGACCCCACACACGUGGUCACCCUCCUCCUGCUGCUGGGGAGAAGGGACACCAGCACGGGAUGGGCUCCUGGGAUGAAAUGUUCUGGGGUUACAGUGGAGGCAGCCACACCACACUGUGAAUGCACUAAAUGCCACUGAAUUUUACGUGUUAAAAGGUGAAUUCUGUGAAUCUGAUGCUAUGUAAGUUGUAUCUCAAUAAAAAAUGGACAAAAAAUGUUUAUGGAA